rnacentral:rRNA from 1 species
AUUGAACGCUGGCGGCAGGCUUAACACAUGCAAGUCGAGAGAGCGGCGGACGGGGGAGUAAUGUCUGGGAAACUGCCUGAUGGAGGGGGAUAACUAAUGGAAACGGUAGCUAAUACCGCAUACCAUCAGAUGUGCCCAGAUGGGAUUAGCUAGUAGGUGGGGUAAUGGCUCACCUAGGCGACGAUCCCUAGCUGGUCUGAGAGGAUGACAAUCCACACUGGAACUUAGACCCGGUCCAGACUCCUACGGGAGGCAGCAGGGGGGAAUAUUUCACAAUGGGCGCAAGCCUGAUGCAGCCCUGCCGCGUGUGGGAAGAAGGCCUUCGGGUUGUAAAGCACUUUCAGCGAGGAGGCGUUACUCGCAGAAGAAGCACCGGCUAACUCCGUGCCAGCAGCCGCGGUAAUAC